rnacentral:rRNA from 1 species
AUACGGAGGGUGCAAGCGUUACUCGGAAUCACUGGGCGUAAAGCGCGCGCAGGCGGCUAUUUAAGUUGGAUGUGAAAGCCUACGGCUCAACCGUAGAACUGCAUCCAAAACUAUUUAGCUAAAGUGUGGGAGAGGAAGAUGGAAUUAGUUGUGUAGGGGUAAAAUCCGUAGAGAUAACUAGGAAUACCAAAAGCGAAGGCAAUCUUCUGGAACACUACUGACGCUGAGGCGCGAAAGCGUGGGGAGCAAACGGGAUUAGAAACCCCAGUAGUCC